GCGCCCAUAGCUCAACUGGACAGAGUAGCGGACUACGAAUCCGAAGGUUGGAGGUUCGAAUCCUCCUGGGCGCACCA
rnacentral:tRNA from 1 species